AGCUCUUUCAAGAUUAUCUGGGCAGCCUCUGAGGCACACUGACCAAUAAAAAUUUCUGCAGCCUUGGCCCUGACUUUUUUUUUGUUUUUUGUAAACAGAACAUAAAGGGAAAUCAGCUGAUAAAUAGAAGCUUCUAUGUAAAUGACAUUAGAUGAAUGAAUUGAGAGACUGAAUAUGUUCAGUUCUAUGCUACCAACAUAAGCACCACAAGUAAUCCCCUAGAUGCCCUUCCUUUUUUCCCACUUCAUGUAACUAGUGCCAUUUUUCCCACUAAAGCACUCUGCCUCACAGCCUCUGCAUUGGUCUCAUUCAUUCACCCACCCAUUAAAUAUUUACUAAGUGCUACCGUGUGCCAAGCACUGUGCUGGGCGCUGGAGAUACAAAUGAUUAAUGUACGGUCCUUGCCUCCAGGGCAGUCCCCUGGUGUCCUCAGGGCCAGCCUGGUAAUCCCAAGCCAGCCCUGGGCAACGGGAACACGGUGCCCUUUGCGGCAGGUAAGAGCGGUAGCAGGGGACUGGCAAACUGCCAGGCCAAAGGUUUUCCCAAGGUAAAACGGGAUGUGAGAGCGAUCCCAGCCCGGCUCAGGCAGACACCAAGUUGGGAAGCAGGGGCCAAAGGGGCGGAGGGCGCAAAGGACCCGGUUGUGCCGAGAACCCCGCCGCAGUCGCCGGGCUGGGUGCUGAGCGGCCGCGCUAUCCCAGAGCCGUCACUGGAGAUGUGGGUACAGCGAUGACUACUGGGCGCCAGUCAGCUGAGGGGGUGUCUCCGAAGGGACACUUUGAGGAGACAGUUGGGGUGGAUCUGGGGUGACGCCCAAAAGGAUGGUUGGUCCUGCGUGUUUGAGGGUUCGGUGGAUGGCAGAGCUGAAGGGUCAGGACAGGACUGAAGACGAGGUCGGUCCAGAAGGUCGAGGAAGACCGAAGGUUUCUUAAAGAAAAAGAUGUAGGAUGAGCCAAAUGGUCCCGUGACCUCUCCCUGUUCCUGAGAAGCUGUAGAUGAGGAACAAGUAUAAGCCUAUACCAUUGAUAUUUUAUCUUCCCGAUUCUCCAAAGACAGAUAGGCUUCACUGUGCUUCCUGCUCCAGUCCUGGAAGAAUGCAUUGUCCAAUUCUCGAUGAAUAUUGAGAUCAAACUUUCAUCUUCUAAAAAUUCCUGUGGGACUUUUAGAUUGGAUUCCUUCAAUUUGUAGAUUAAUUUGGAGAGAAUGGACAUAUUUUCAACAUCAAAAAUUUCCACCAUCCACUCUAUAAAUAUAUAUUAAGUACCUAAGCACCUUCUUUGUGCCAGUCAUUGUUCUAGCAUUUGACAUACAUCAGUGAACGAAACAAAGAAUCCUGUCUUUGUGGAGCUUACCUUUAUGUAAGUAAAGGCAGACAAUAAACAAUAAAAUAAUAAAUAAUAUAAAUUAUGUUGGAAAGUGAAUGCUGUGGAAAAAGCUAGAUAAGAGAGAGCAGAACUAUGAGGGUGAGAGGAGGUGGCAGGCUUAUAGAAAAGGUGAGAUAGAGCAAAAACUUGGAAAAGGGAGUUGGCCAAGGGGCUGUCUGGAGGAAGAGUGUUUCAACCAGAAGGAAUAAUGACAACAAAGACUCUGUUUAAGUAACAGCAAGAAGGACGCACUAGCUGGAGCAGCAAGGUCAGGAGCUGAGUAGCAGGAGACAGAGGUCAGGGAGGGUGUGGGCAGGGUAGGUAGGGUCUAAAAGGCUACCGUAAGGGCUCUGGCUUUUACUCUAAGUGAAAAUGGGAGCCACUGUAAAUCCAUCUACGAACAUGCCUAUAUUUUGCCAUUUAUUCAGGUCACCCUUUUGCCUAUCGAUAAAGUCUUAUAGUUUUCUUUAUAUAG